GAGCCUGCCCAGGGUUCCGCAUCCCACACGGGCGGCUCACAGGGUGGUCUUGGGCAUACCCACUGGUUUGGGAUGAUGACUUUCUCAGUAUCAGGAGAGGAGUGGAGGCAUUGGGGACUGGACUGGCUGUCCCUUGGAACUUUUGCCUCUCUCUUGUUCUAACCCUAACAGGAGUAUCAAGGAGAAGGGACAGGCAACUAGAAUAUCCUGGCAGCUAGUAAGGCAUGUGGAGAAUAAAAAUUCCUUAUGUCUUUGAAAAAGAGAUACAUCUUUAAACAAAUGGUCUGCUUGGGAGCUUCUGUGUUGGUAUUUUCAUAGUCAAGAGACAGUGGAUGAGAAAGUGAAAAUAAGAGACUCAGAAAACAUGUACAAAAGAGUGAAGAACUAGUAAAAGAGACAAUUUCAAGAGAAAACAGGACGAAACAAGACCAGAGGGGGAACAAAAAUAGCCCAUCUCUUCACAUUGGAACCACUUUAAUUGGGGAAACACAGACAAAGAAGAUGGUGUCCCAGGGGAUGAGGAAGGAACAUGUAAGUUAUUUAACAUGUGAGGAGAAUUUUUAAGAAAGGAAAGAAAAAACUAGAGUGCAGAAAGAAAACAAAGAAGAGUAAAAUGCUGCAGGCAUUAAAAAAAUAAUAACAAAACAAAAACGAGAGAAAGGCAGAGUCCAAAACAACACACGAUCUUACAAAACAAAGAAUUCUCUUACAGAAUAAAACCUGAUGUCUCUAAAAGCAUUAAACACUAUAGAAAAUUAGUCUGGAGGACAACAGCCAUUAAAAGAGAAUGAAGAGUCGGCAGCCACAUAAAGAAAAUAAGAAAAGACUGCAAGAAGAAAGAUACACGUUGUGAGAGAACUCCCAUAGAAAGCUAAUUCCAGAACGUUACUCGGCAAAAUAUAUACAUAAUAAUGACUGUGUACAUAUACAUAUGUAUAUACGGAUAUACAUAUGUAUCUACACCGACCACACGCAACAUUUUGUAAAAUACACUUCGUUGUAUUUUAUCUAAGGAUCUAUGUUAAAGUUUGGUGUCCAAAGAGUUUUCCUGGAGGUGAAGUCUUGGGCUACUGUUUGUGGAAUUUGAACAAGUUUCCUGGGAGAUUGUUUACCUACCAUCAUCUAGAAUGGAACCCAAGUCCAGAGCCAUUUUCAAAUGUCAUCCCUUUCUAGUUAUGGCAAAUAAGAAACCAAGAAACACAACAGGAUUUUGUGAACUUCUGCAGAACUGAAUCAAAGAGUUUUACAAGACUCAAGAUGUUGGCUGGUAGAAAUCCAAGUCAAAAAUGGCGAGUCACAAUAUCUUUCCUCUAGGCAAGAAAAAAAAAGAAGACAAGGGAAAGACAAAGGAAGGAAAUGGAAGGAAAGGACAAAGAAGGAAAGUCUACUCUGAAUCUUGACAUGUCAGCUUGAUUCUAGAAGUGUGUUUACCUGGAGGACUUACCCACAACUUUAACCUUGAUGCUUGCAUGUGCCUCUCCAGCUUCGUUUUUCAGAUUGAUGUGGUAAACACCAGAGUCAUCUCUUUCAGCUAUAUCAAUGACCAGAGUGCUGCUAUCAGG